AGAAAGCGCAGAUGAAGUCCUUUAUCGUGGAGCUCAGCAAAGAGUUCUCCGUCCUCUCCCAGUUCACCAGCUUUGUGGCCAUUGAGGAGAGGGAUGCACAGAAGACUGAUGAGGGCUUCACAUACAUCCCCAAACUGAUUGCAGAGGACGUGGACCUGCUGCCCUAUAUGGGCUGGGAAGAUGAAGAGUAGAGACUGAAGGAGGAAGAGGAGGAUCUUGGUUAUUUGUGCGAUGACGGCUCAUUGAGUUCUGUAGAGGAAGAUGUUCUAGUUGCUUUGCAGGGCUCUGUUUUUGAUGUGGAGGAAGAGUCUCAUUCCAUUCUGGGCUCUGGGCUUUUUAAUGCUGAAAAGAUUCACGGUGAUGCUCUGUACAUGGAUGAAUUUGCGGAUGAAUUCGUCCCCCUUUUCUGGGAUAAUUGAAACGUUUGAGGAGGACCUGGACGAACUGAUUUCUUUAGAGUCUAAGCUUGAUGUUGAUUUGAUGAAUUUAGGUACAGUAUGAUAGUGAAAACACACAACAGAAGAACAGAAAUUCUUUCAAAGCUGCUGAAGACUGUUUGUAAGCAGAUGUGAUCAUAGACGGUUUAUUAAUUCAGCAAUAUCCAAUCAUCAGUUUGGUCCAUGUCUACUCAGGAGCAUAUUUUCAUUUUUGUGACAACAAUUACAACAAUCACAACAAUUUAUACUUAUCAAGUUGUUACGUAACACAGCAUUUUAUUUAUUUUUUUGCUGUU